rnacentral:rRNA from 2 species
AGGUUAAGUUAACAAGGGCGCAUGGUGAAUGCCUUGGCACUAGGAGCCGAUGAAGGACGGGACUAACACCGAUAUGCUUCGGGGAGCUGUACGUAAGCUAUGAUCCGGAGAUUUCCGAAUGGGGCAACCCAGCAGUUUUAAUCAACUGUUACCACUAGAUGAAUUCAUAGUCUAGUUGGAGGUAAACGCUGUGAACUGAAACAUCUCAUUAGCAGCAGGAAUAUAAAGAAAUUUCGAUUCCCUAAGUAGCGGCGAGCGAACGGGGAACAGCCCAAACCAAAGUGCUUGCACUUUGGGGUUGUAGGACUGAACAUUUGAGUUACCAAAGAACUUGAUAGUCGAAGGAUUUGGAAAAAUCCGCCAUAGAUGGUGAUAGCCCAGUAGAUUAAAUCAAAUUCUCUCAGUUCAGGAUCCUGAGUACGGCGGAACACGUGAAAUUCCGUCGGAAUCCGGGAGGACCAUCUCCCAAGGCUAAAUACUACCUAGUGACCGAUAGUGAACCAGUACCGUGAGGGAAAGGUGAAAAGCACCCCGGGAGGGGAGUGAAAUAGUUCCUGAAACCAUGUGCCUACAAUAAGUCAGAGCGCGUUAAUGCGUGAUGGCGUGCCUUUUGUAGAAUGAACCGGCGAGUUAUGAUCCCGUGCAAGGUUAAGACUAAAAAGUCGGAGCCGUAGCGAAAGCGAGUCUGAAAUGGGCGUUUUGAGUACGAGGUUAUAGACCCGAAACCAGGUGACCUAUCCAUGUCCAGGUUGAAGGUGCGGUAAAACGCACUGGAGGACCGAACCCGUGUAAGUUGAAAAUUGCUGGGAUGAGGUGUGGAUAGCGGUGAAAUUCCAAACGAACUUGGAGAUAGCUGGUUCUCUCCGAAAUAGCUUUAGGGCUAGCCUCGGAAUUAGGAUCAUGGAGGUAGAGCACUAUUUGGACUAGGGGCCCGUCUUGGGUUACUGAAUUCAGAUAAACUCCGAAUGCCAUUGAUUCAUAUCCGGGAGUCAGACGAUGAGUGAUAAGAUCCACCGUCGAAAGGGGAACAGCCCAGACCAUCAGUUAAGGUCCCUAAAUGUAUGCUAAGUGGAAAAGGAUGUGGAGUUGCAUAGACAACUAGGAUGUUGGCUCAGAAGCAGCCACCAUUUAAAGAGUGCGUAAUAGCUCACUAGUCGAGUGAUCCUGCGCCGAAAAUGUACCGGGGCUAAGCAUACUACCGAAACCAUGGAUGCGACCAUUAGGUCGCGUGAUAGGAGAGCGUUCUAAGGGCGGUGAAGCAAGAUCGUGAGGACUUGUGGAGCGCUUAGAAGUGAGAAUGCCGGUAUGAGUAGCGAAAGAUAGGUGAGAAUCCUAUCCACCGAAUGACUAAGGUUUCCUGGGGAAGGCUCGUCCUCCCAGGGUUAGUCGGGACCUAAGUCGAGGCCGAGAGGCGUAGACGAUGGAUAACAGGUUGAGAUUCCUGUACUAGUUAAGUGCGUUUGAGCAAUGGAGGGACGCAGGAGGCUAAGAUGUGCAUUCUGUUGGAUUAGAAUGUCCAAGCAGUAAGUCUUGUGAAGAGUCAAAUGCUUUUCACUUUAAGGACAAGCUGUGAUGGGGAGCGAAAUUUAGUAGCGAAGCGUCUGAUGUCACACUGCCGAGAAAAGCUUCUAGUGAGUACUUAACUACCCGUACCGCAAACCGACACAGGUAGUCGAGGAGAGAAUCCUAAGGUGAGCGAGUGAACUCUCGUUAAGGAACUCGGCAAAAUGACCCCGUAACUUCGGGAGAAGGGGUGCUGAUCGCAAGAUCAGCCGCAGUGAAUAGGCCCAGGCGACUGUUUAUCAAAAACACAGGUCUCUGCAAAAUCGUAAGAUGACGUAUAGGGGCUGACGCCUGCCCGGUGCUGGAAGGUUAAAAGGAUGGGUUAGCUUCGGCGAAGCUCAGAAUUGAAGCCCCAGUAAACGGCGGCCGUAACUAUAACGGUCCUAAGGUAGCGAAAUUCCUUGUCGGGUAAGUUCCGACCCGCACGAAAGGCGUAACGAUCUGGGCACUGUCUCAACGAGAGACUCGGUGAAAUUAUAUUGUCCGUGAAGAUGCGGACUACCCGCGACAGGACGGAAAGACCCCAUGGAGCUUUACUGUAGCUUGAUAUUGAGUGUUUGUACAGCUUGUACAGGAUAGGUAGGAGCCAUAGAAACCGGAACGCUAGUUUCGGUGGAGGCGUUGGUGGGAUACUACCCUCGCUGUAUGACCACUCUAACCCGCACCACUAAUCGUGGUGGGAGACAGUGUCAGGUGGGCAGUUUGACUGGGGCGGUCGCCUCCUAAAAAGUAACGGAGGCGCCCAAAGGUUCCCUCAGAAUGGUUGGAAAUCAUUCGCAGAGUGUAAAGGCACAAGGGAGCUUGACUGCGAGACAGACAGGUCGAGCAGGGACGAAAGUCGGGCUUAGUGAUCCGGUGGUACCGUAUGGAAGGGCCAUCGCUCAACGGAUAAAAGCUACCCUGGGGAUAACAGGCUUAUCUCCCCCAAGAGUCCACAUCGACGGGGAGGUUUGGCACCUCGAUGUCGGCUCAUCGCAUCCUGGGGCUGUAGUCGGUCCCAAGGGUUGGGCUGUUCGCCCAUUAAAGCGGUACGCGAGCUGGGUUCAGAACGUCGUGAGACAGUUCGGUCCCUAUCCGUCGCGGGCGUAGGAAAUUUGAGAGGACCUGUCCUUAGUACGAGAGGACCGGGAUGGACAUACCUCUGGUGUACCAGUUGUGCCGCCAGGCGCAUCGCUGGGUAGCUACGUAUGGAUGUGAUAAACGCUGAAAGCAUCUAAGUGUGAAACACACCUCGAGAUGAGAUUUCCCAUUCCUUUAUGGAAGUAAGACCCCUGAAAGAUGAUCAGGUAGAUAGGUUAGAAGUGGCAGUGCGGUGACGCAUGAAGCGGACUAAUACUAAUCGGUCGAGGACUUAACCAAG